GCUGCAUGUGUGUGUUAGUGUGGGUGUGCGACCUUACAACCUGUCCGGCAACAAACAAACUGUGAGUAACAGUGGGUUAUACCCACUGUGUUUACUUUGAUCCCUGUCAUGUCUCUGUGUCUCUGAUCUCCAGGUUGGACAGCAACAGACUGACCGAUGGCUGCACUGAUGAUCUGGUCUCCGCUCUCAGUACAAACCGCACACUGAGGAUCCUGGGCCUGGAGUGUAACUCCUUCACAGACGGCUCUGUCCCCGCUCUCCGCCGCCUCAUACAGACCUGCACCAGUCUGGAGAGGAUCAGGCUGAGGGGGAAUGAGUUCAGUUCAGACGGAGAGAAUCAGCUGAAGUCACUGCGGGGAAUCAGAGCUGAGCUGAGAGUGCAAUUCUCCCUUUUUGACUGAGGCAGUGAGUGUCCACACAGUCUGUGUAAUAUGGAAUAUAUUCUGGACACUGUAGUGACUGAUUAUUAAAGAUGUUGAUCCUGAUUCCUCUCCCAUCUCUGCUCUGGGGACCGUUAUUGACACACACCGCCUACGGGCGUGCGGGCGGCUGGAGAGCCCCGACCCUCAGUCACUGCUAAACUGCUCGAUUAUUACCCCCGGAAAGUGAUAUGAUGAUUCCAUUUUGAAGAUGGAGAAAAAUGCUAAGUUCCGGGUGAUGUUGAGCUGAGGUCCUCCCCCUCCACCCCCGCACCCCGAGGGCUCAGCAGGUAAAACACACCUUUAUAAUAAUAAUAAUCCUUGCAUUUGAUUUAGCG